GGGUUGUGAGGUUAAGCGACUAAGCGUACACGGUGGAUGCCCUGGCAGUCAGAGGCGAUGAAGGACGUGCUAAUCUGCGAUAAGCGUCGGUAAGGUGAUAUGAACCGUUAUAACCGGCGAUUUCCGAAUGGGGAAACCCAGUGUGUUUCGACACACUAUCAUUAACUGAAUCCAUAGGUUAAUGAGGCGAACCGGGGGAACUGAAACAUCUAAGUACCCCGAGGAAAAGAAAUCAACCGAGAUUCCCCCAGUAGCGGCGAGCGAACGGGGAGCAGCCCAGAGCCUGAAUCAGUGUGUGUGUUAGUGGAAGCGUCUGGAAAGGCGCGCGAUACAGGGUGACAGCCCCGUACACAAAAAUGCACAUGCUGUGAGCUCGAUGAGUAGGGCGGGACACGUGGUAUCCUGUCUGAAUAUGGGGGGACCAUCCUCCAAGGCUAAAUACUCCUGACUGACCGAUAGUGAACCAGUACCGUGAGGGAAAGGCGAAAAGAACCCCGGCGAGGGGAGUGAAAAAGAACCUGAAACCGUGUACGUACAAGCAGUGGGAGCACGCUUAGGCGUGUGACUGCGUACCUUUUGUAUAAUGGGUCAGCGACUUAUAUUCUGUAGCAAGGUUAACCGAAUAGGGGAGCCGAAGGGAAACCGAGUCUUAACUGGGCGUUAAGUUGCAGGGUAUAGACCCGAAACCCGGUGAUCUAGCCAUGGGCAGGUUGAAGGUUGGGUAACACUAACUGGAGGACCGAACCGACUAAUGUUGAAAAAUUAGCGGAUGACUUGUGGCUGGGGGUGAAAGGCCAAUCAAACCGGGAGAUAGCUGGUUCUCCCCGAAAGCUAUUUAGGUAGCGCCUCGUGAAUUCAUCUCCGGGGGUAGAGCACUGUUUCGGCAAGGGGGUCAUCCCGACUUACCAACCCGAUGCAAACUGCGAAUACCGGAGAAUGUUAUCACGGGAGACACACGGCGGGUGCUAACGUCCGUCGUGAAGAGGGAAACAACCCAGACCGCCAGCUAAGGUCCCAAAGUCAUGGUUAAGUGGGAAACGAUGUGGGAAGGCCCAGACAGCCAGGAUGUUGGCUUAGAAGCAGCCAUCAUUUAAAGAAAGCGUAAUAGCUCACUGGUCGAGUCGGCCUGCGCGGAAGAUGUAACGGGGCUAAACCAUGCACCGAAGCUGCGGCAGCGACGCUGAUGCGUUGUUGGGUAGGGGAGCGUUCUGUAAGCCUGCGAAGGUGUGCUGUGAGGCAUGCUGGAGGUAUCAGAAGUGCGAAUGCUGACAUAAGUAACGAUAAAGCGGGUGAAAAGCCCGCUCGCCGGAAGACCAAGGGUUCCUGUCCAACGUUAAUCGGGGCAGGGUGAGUCGACCCCUAAGGCGAGGCCGAAAGGCGUAGUCGAUGGGAAACAGGUUAAUAUUCCUGUACUUGGUGUUACUGCGAAGGGGGGACGGAGAAGGCUAUGUUGGCCGGGCGACGGUUGUCCCGGUUUAAGCGUGUAGGCUGGUUUUCCAGGCAAAUCCGGAAAAUCAAGGCUGAGGCGUGAUGACGAGGCACUACGGUGCUGAAGCAACAAAUGCCCUGCUUCCAGGAAAAGCCUCUAAGCAUCAGGUAACAUCAAAUCGUACCCCAAACCGACACAGGUGGUCAGGUAGAGAAUACCAAGGCGCUUGAGAGAACUCGGGUGAAGGAACUAGGCAAAAUGGUGCCGUAACUUCGGGAGAAGGCACGCUGAUAUGUAGGUGAAGUCCCUCGCGGAUGGAGCUGAAAUCAGUCGAAGAUACCAGCUGGCUGCAACUGUUUAUUAAAAACACAGCACUGUGCAAACACGAAAGUGGACGUAUACGGUGUGACGCCUGCCCGGUGCCGGAAGGUUAAUUGAUGGGGUCAGCGCAAGCGAAGCUCUUGAUCGAAGCCCCGGUAAACGGCGGCCGUAACUAUAACGGUCCUAAGGUAGCGAAAUUCCUUGUCGGGUAAGUUCCGACCUGCACGAAUGGCGUAAUGAUGGCCAGGCUGUCUCCACCCGAGACUCAGUGAAAUUGAACUCGCUGUGAAGAUGCAGUGUACCCGCGGCAAGACGGAAAGACCCCGUGAACCUUUACUAUAGCUUGACACUGAACAUUGAGCCUUGAUGUGUAGGAUAGGUGGGAGGCUUAGAAGUGUGGACGCCAGUCUGCAUGGAGCCGACCUUGAAAUACCACCCUUUAAUGUUUGAUGUUCUAACGUUGACCCGUAAUCCGGGUUGCGGACAGUGUCUGGUGGGUAGUUUGACUGGGGCGGUCUCCUCCUAAAGAGUAACGGAGGAGCACGAAGGUUGGCUAAUCCUGGUCGGACAUCAGGAGGUUAGUGCAAUGGCAUAAGCCAGCUUGACUGCGAGCGUGACGGCGCGAGCAGGUGCGAAAGCAGGUCAUAGUGAUCCGGUGGUUCUGAAUGGAAGGGCCAUCGCUCAACGGAUAAAAGGUACUCCGGGGAUAACAGGCUGAUACCGCCCAAGAGUUCAUAUCGACGGCGGUGUUUGGCACCUCGAUGUCGGCUCAUCACAUCCUGGGGCUGAAGUAGGUCCCAAGGGUAUGGCUGUUCGCCAUUUAAAGUGGUACGCGAGCUGGGUUUAGAACGUCGUGAGACAGUUCGGUCCCUAUCUGCCGUGGGCGCUGGAGAACUGAGGGGGGCUGCUCCUAGUACGAGAGGACCGGAGUGGACGCAUCACUGGUGUUCGGGUUGUCAUGCCAAUGGCACUGCCCGGUAGCUAAAUGCGGAAGAGAUAAGUGCUGAAAGCAUCUAAGCACGAAACUUGCCCCGAGAUGAGUUCUCCCUGACCCUUUAAGGGUCCUGAAGGAACGUUGAAGACGACGACGUUGAUAGGCCGGGUGUGUAAGCGCAGCGAUGCGUUGAGCUAACCGGUACUAAUGAACCGUGAGGCUUAACCUUACAACGCCGAAGCUGUU
rnacentral:rRNA from 1 species